UACGUAGGGUGCAAGCGUUAAUCGGAAUUACUGGGCGUAAAGAGUGCGUAGGCGGCUAUGUAAGACAGGUGUGAAAUCCCUGGGCUUAACCUAGGAACUGCAUUUGUGACUGCAUGGCUAGAGUGUGGUAGAGGGAGAUGGAAUUCCGCAUGUAGCAGUGAAAUGCGCAGAUAUCAGGAGGAACACCGAUGGCGAAGGCAGGUCUCUGGGCCACUACUGACGCUGAGAAGCGAAAGCAUGAGGAGCGAACAGG
rnacentral:rRNA from 1 species